rnacentral:tRNA from 3 species
GCCCAGGUGGUGGAACUGGUAGACACACCGUCUUGAGGGGGCGGCGCCGUAAGGCGUGCGAGUUCGAAUCUCGCCCUGGGCACCA